UCUAACGUUUGAAUAUGGUUUAGUGCGUGAUAAUAUAUGAAAUUUGACUUUCUGUCAAUCUAAGUGAAAAAUAAAAAACUUUAAAACUUUGCAAAAAAAACGACCAUUUUUCGUUAGUUUUGACAAAAGUCCAUUGACCGCAGAAUUACUGAAAAUCGUAGUAAUAAACAAUUCUAUGCAUAAGAAAAUUAUUUUUCACAUUCAUUCAAGUCCAAUUCAGGAAGGGGCCUUAAAUCAGAUAGUCAUACCUUCGGCGAACCUCCCAGGUUUAAUAAAAGGAAACUAUGCUGCCAGGAAAAGUAACAGAGAUGCCCUGUUCGAGUCAUCAUAAAAACCCGACUUAGAAGCGUGUGUCGCAAUUUGCUUGAACCACCAACACGAGCCGACCUUGUUAUGAAACACAAUGAAUACCACCUAUUGUUGUUAUUUGGAAAUUCAAUGGAAGCACGAUUAACAAUUUGUCAUAUAAUGUAUUAGUGUUUUUUGUUCUAUUUUAUCUUUGUAGGUUUUGCUAAAUAAAGAUUAUUAUUAUUAUGUAAAA